UUUAAUUUUUUUAUUCUUAAGUCUUAAGUUUAUUCUUUAAGCCUCGUCAUCAUCAUCAUUCGUUGAGCUUCAAACUAUUUUGGCAUCAAACCAGUUUCAUGUCAUGCUACCAUUUCAGUAACAUUAUAUAAAAAAUUCAUUUCCUAUGCAAGAUGCCAUGAUUCCAUUUCGAACACAAUACCUCUUUAUAGACAAAUUAAAGGGAGUCUGCAUUAAAAAAAUAAAAAAUUAAAAGACCUAAUCAUUUCCUCUAUCGAAGUAGAAUGGAGAAAUUUAAGUAAUUAAGCCAAAAUGUCACCAUUUUCGAGUCAAAAUGCCUCCCAGAAACGAUGAUGCCUUAAAGAAGAUUAUUUAAAUAAGAUGUAUGGCCUGGGCUGAAUCUAUUCGAACUUUUGUGUUCACAAACCUGGCUUGGGAAAGUCAAGAGCCAGGCUGAGUUGGGUUACUUUUGGAUUGAUGUGGGCUUAAAUUUGGGUUUUUAAAGAAUUUGGACAUAAAUUUGGGUUUGGGGUUUUAACUUGGGUUUGACUAGAAACUUUUUCUUUUACCUAAACUAAACU
rnacentral:lncRNA from 1 species